UACGUAGGGGGCAAGCGUUGUCCGGAUUUAUUGGGCGUAAAGAGCGUGUAGGUGGCCUGACAGGUCUGCUGUGAAAACUCGAGGCUCAACCUCGAGAUGUCGGCGGAAACCGUCUGGCUAGAGUCCGGAAGAGGAGAGUGGAAUUCCUGGUGUAGCGGUGAAAUGCGCAGAUAUCAGGAAGAACACCAAUGGCGAAGGCAGCUCUCUGGGACGGUACUGACGCUGAGACGCGAAAGCGUGGGGAGCGAACAGG
rnacentral:rRNA from 1 species